AACGAACGCUGGCGGCAGGCCUAACACAUGCAAGUCGAGCGGACCUUUCGGGGUCAGCGGCGGACGGGUGAGUAACGCGUGGGAAUAUGCCCUUCUCUACGGAAUAGUCCUGGGAAACUGGGGGUAAUACCGUAUACGCCCUUUGGGGGAAAGAUUUAUCGGGGAAGGAUUAGCCCGCGUUGGAUUAGGUAGUUGGUGGGGUAAUGGCCUACCAAGCCGACGAUCGGUAGCUGGUUUGAGAGGAUGAUCGGCCACACUGGGACUGAGAUACGGCCCAGACGGCUACGGGAGGCAGCAGGGGGGAAGAUGGCACAAUGGGCGGAAGCCGGAUGCAGCAACGCCGCGGGCGGGAGGAAGGACUUCGGGGUGGAAACAGCUUUCGCCUGUGACGAAGCGGGAGUGUCGGUAAUGGGUAAAGAAGCACCGGCUAACUACGUG
rnacentral:rRNA from 1 species